AGAGUUUGAUCAUGGCUCAGAUUGAACGCUGGCGGCAGGCCUAACACAUGCAAGUCGAACGGUAACAGGAAGCAGCUUGCUGCUUUGCUGACGAGUGGCGGACGGGUGAGUAAUGUCUGGGAAACUGCCUGAUGGAGGGGGAUAACUACUGGAAACGGUAGCUAAUACCGCAUAACGUCGCAAGACCAAAGAGGGGGACCUUCGGGCCUCUUGCCAUCAGAUGUGCCCAGAUGGGAUUAGCUAGUAGGUGGGGUAACGGCUCACCUAGGCGACGAUCCCUAGCUGGUCUGAGAGGAUGACCAGCCACACUGGAACUGAGACACGGUCCAGACUCCUACGGGAGGCAGCAGUGGGGAAUAUUGCACAAUGGGCGCAAGCCUGAUGCAGCGACGCCGCGUGCGGGAUGACGGCCUUCGGGUUGUAAACCGCUUUUGAUCGGGAGCAAGCCUUCGGGUGAGUGUACCUUUCGAAUAAGCACCGGCUAACUACGUGCCAGCAGCCGCGGUAAUACGUAGGGUGCAAGCGUUAUCCGGAAUUAUUGGGCGUAAAGGGCUCGUAGGCGGUUCGUCGCGUCCGGUGUGAAAGUCCAUCGCUUAACGGUGGAUCUGCGCCGGGUACGGGCGGGCUGGAGUGCGGUAGGGGAGACUGGAAUUCCCGGUGUAACGGUGGAAUGUGUAGAUAUCGGGAAGAACACCAAUGGCGAAGGCAGGUCUCUGGGCCGUUACUGACGCUGAGGAGCGAAAGCGUGGGGAGCGAACAGGAUUAGAUACCCUGGUAGUCCACGCCGUAAACGAUGAAUGCUAGGUGUAGGAGGUAUCGACCCCUCCUGUGCCGGAGUUAACGCAAUAAGCAUUCCGCCUGGGGAGUACGGCCGCAAGGCUGAAACUCAAAGGAAUUGACGGGGGCCCG
rnacentral:rRNA from 1 species